rnacentral:rRNA from 1 species
GAUGAACGCUGGCGGCGUGCCUAAUACAUGCAAGUCGAGCGAACAGACGAGGAGCUUGCUCCUCUGACGUUAGCGGCGGACGGGUGAGUAACACGUGGAUAACCUACCUAUAAGACUGGGAUAACUUCGGGAAACCGGAGCUAGUACCGGAUAAUAUGUUGAAUCGCAUGGUUCAACAGUGAAAGACGGUCUUGCUGUCACUUAUAGAUGGAUCCGCGCCGCAUUAGCUAGUUGGUAAGGUAACGGCUUACCAAGGCAACGAUGCGUAGCCGACCUGAGAGAGUGAUCGGCCACACUGGAACUGAGACACGGUCCAGACUCCUACGGGAGGCAGCAGUAGGGAAUCUUCCGAAAUGGGCGAAAGCCUGACGGAGCAACGCCGCGUGAGUGAAGAAGGUCUUCGGAUCGUAAAACUCUGUUAUUAGGGAAGAACAAAUGUGUAAGUAACUAUGCACGUCUUGACGGUACCUAAUCAGAAAGCCACGGCUAACUACGUG